rnacentral:rRNA from 1 species
CCUCCGUUCUGCCGCCGUGAGGAAUAUUGGUCAAUGGGCGGGAGCCUGAACCAGCCAAGCCGCGUGAGGGAAGAAGGUACUGCGUAUCGUAAACCUCUUUUGUCAGGGAACAAAGGCGGGGACUAGUCCCCGGAUGAGGGUACCUGAAGAAAAAGCAUCGGCUAACUCCGUGCCAGCAGCCGCGGUAAUACGGAGGAUGCGAGCGUUAUCCGGAUUUAUUGGGUUUAAAGGGUGCGUAGGCGGUUCGAUAAGUUAGAGGUGAAAUCCCGGGGCUCAACUCCGGCACUGCCUCUGAUACUGUCGGGCUAGAGUGUAGUUGAGGUAGGCGGAAUGUAUGGUGUAGCGGUGAAAUGCAUAGAGAUCAUACAGAACACCGAUUGCGAAGGCAGCUUACCAAACUACGACUGACGUUGAGGCACGAAAGCGUGGGGAGCAAACAGGAUUAGAUACCCCUGUAGUC